UGGGGAAUUUUGGACAAUGGGGGAAACCCUGAUCCAGCCAUCCCGCGUGUGCGAUGAAGGCCUUCGGGUUGUAAAGCACUUUUGGCAGGAAAGAAACGUCAUGGGUUAAUACCCCGUGAAACUGACGGUACCUGCAGAAUAAGCACCGGCUAACUACGUGCCAGCAGCCGCGGUAAUACGUAGGGUGCAAGCGUUAAUCGGAAUUACUGGGCGUAAAGCGUGCGCAGGCGGUUCGGAAAGAAAGAUGUGAAAUCCCAGAGCUCAACUUUGGAACUGCAUUUUAAACUACCGGGCUAGAGUGUGUCAGAGGGAGGUGGAAUUCCGAGUGUAGCAGUGAAAUGCGUAGAUAUGCGGAGGAACACCGAUGGCGAAGGCAGCCUCCUGGGAUAACACUGACGCUCAUGCACGAAAGCGUGGGGAGCAAACAGG
rnacentral:rRNA from 1 species